rnacentral:rRNA from 1 species
AGAGUUUGAUCAUGGCUCAGGAUGAACGCUAGCGGCAGGCUUAACACAUGCAAGUCGAGGGGUAACAUUGUGCUUGCACAGAUGACGACCGGCGCACGGGUGCGUAACGCGUAUAGAACCUACCUUUUACAGAGGGAUAGCCUUUAGAAAUGAAGAUUAAUACCUUAUAGUAUUGAGACUUGGCAUCAAGUUUUAAUUAAAGAUUUAUCGGUAAAAGAUGGCUAUGCGUCCUAUUAGUUAGUUGGUAAGGUAAUGGCUUACCAAGACAGCGAUAGGUAGGGGCCCUGAGAGGGGGAUCCCCCACACUGGUACUGAGACACGGACCAGACUCCUACGGGAGGCAGCAGUGAGGAAUAUUGGGCAAUGGAGGCAACUCUGACCCAGCCAUGCCGCGUGCAGGAAGACGGCCCUAUGGGUUGUAAACUGCUUUUAUACAGGAAGAAACACUCGUACGUGUACGAGCUUGACGGUACUGUAAGAAUAAGGACCGGCUAACUCCGUGCCAGCAGCCGCGGUAAUACGGAGGGUCCGAGCGUUAUCCGGAAUCAUUGGGUUUAAAGGGUCCGCAGGCGGUCAAUUAAGUCAGAGGUGAAAUACCAUAGCUCAACUAUGGAACUGCCUUUGAUACUGGUUGACUUGAGUCAUAUGGAAGUAGAUAGAAUGUGUAGUGUAGCGGUGAAAUGCAUAGAGAUUACACAGAAUACCGAUUGCGAAGGCAGUCUACUACGUAUGUACUGACGCUGA